rnacentral:rRNA from 1 species
UCCGUAGGUGAACCUGCGGAGGGAUCAUUACCGAGUUUACAACUCCCAAACCCAAUGUGAACGUUACCAAACUGUUGCCUCGGCGGGAUCUCUGCCCCGGGUGCGUCGCAGCCCCGGACCAAGGCGCCCGCCGGAGGACCAACCAAAACUCUUAUUGUAUACCCCCUCGCGGGUUUUUUUAUAAUCUGAGCCUUCUCGGCGCCUCUCGUAGGCGUUUCGAAAAUGAAUCAAAACUUUCAACAACGGAUCUCUUGGUUCUGGCAUCGAUGAAGAACGCAGCGAAAUGCGAUAAGUAAUGUGAAUUGCAGAAUUCAGUGAAUCAUCGAAUCUUUGAACGCACAUUGCGCCCGCCAGUAUUCUGGCGGGCAUGCCUGUCCGAGCGUCAUUUCAACCCUCGAACCCCUCCGGGGGGUCGGCGUUGGGGAUCGGCCCUGCCUUGGCGGUGGCCGUCUCCGAAAUACAGUGGCGGUCUCGCCGCAGCCUCUCCUGCGCAGUAGUUUGCACACUCGCAUCGGGAGCGCGGCGCGUCCACAGCCGUUAAACACCCAACUUCUGAAAUAUUGACCUCGGAUCAGGUAGGAAUACCCGCUGAACUUAAGCAUAUCAAUAAGCGGAGGAA